CAGUGAUGCAGCAGCAGAUGUCUCUCUGAUAAAAUAUAUAUUGUUCUGUUAUUUCAUGCCAAAGAGGCCAUCGUCUUUUCACAAAUAAUGACGUUGUGGGACUGAAGAUUUCAAAAGCUCCCAACGCUGCACAAUGAGUCCUCUGAUGAAACUCCCACUGGUCACAUUCAAGGUCUUCAAGUGAUGGAGAGGAGAAUCAUGUUGCAACUGGAGAUGAUCCGUACGGAGUUCAGGACUGCUCUGAGCCAUGUGAUGGAGGCCAUAGAGGCCAGAAUGCCGAAGGAGUCAGAAUCCCUGGGACAGACUGAAAUGCUGCAAUACCCUGCAAGGACUCCUGAAGAAUUGAACAAAGUCUGUGAAAGACUGAUAGACGCCCACUUUCGAAAGAAAAUGGUGCUGCCUUGAAAGCCUACCCGAAGGCCACCUACCAGGCUAUAGACGAAAAGAUAGUUGACACUCUCAAGCAUGCACCUGCUCGGCUAAAGAAUAAGGGAAAGGUAUGACUGAAAAUUACAAUAUAUAUUUUUUAAUGGCUCUGUGUGUGUUGUUAUGGAAAUUUUGAACUAAGGUGCAUUUGAGAAAUGUCUGUCUUUCCAUUGGCUGAUAUGUAAAUAUGUCCUUUAUUGUGAUUAUUCAAGUCUUUAUUCACUGAGGUCAAGGGAGGUUCCAAUACAUUGUAUACCAAACCAUACAUGCAGCAGACUCCGAAACAGUAGGUCAACAUCCGUUCUCAUACAAUUUCUAGACAUUUGUUCUAACAUGAUUGGUUCAAGACAUUUUGUAUACUCUGAUGAUUGUGACACCAAAAGAGAAAAAGAAAUAGAAUUUCCA